rnacentral:rRNA from 1 species
AGGGAAGCGGAAUGGCGACAUGGAGCGAACCCCAAAAAUAAACGUCCCAGUUCGGAUUGCAGGCUGCAACCCGCCUGCAUGAAGCCGGAAUCGCUAGUAAUCGCGAAUCAGAAUGUCGCGGUGAAUACGUCCCCGGGUCUUGUACACACCGCCCGUCACACCAUGGGAGUCGGAAAUGCCCGAAGUCAGUGACCUAACCGAAAGGGAGGAGCUGCCGAAGGUGGAGCCGGUAACUGGGGUGAAGUCGUAACAAGGUACC